rnacentral:rRNA from 1 species
UGGGGAAUUUUGCACAAUGGGGGAAACCCUGAUGCAGCGACGCCGCUUGAUUUAGAAGGCCUUCGGGUUGUAAAAAUCUUUUCUAUGGGAAGAAAAUGACAGUACCAUAGGAAUAAGGACCGGCUAAUUACGUGCCAGCAGCCGCGGUAAUACGUAAGGUCCGAGCGUUGUCCGGAAUCAUUGGGCGUAAAGGGUACGUAGGCGGGUAAGCAAGUUAGAAGUGAAAUCCUAUAGCUCAACUAUAGUAAGCUUUUAAAACUGCUCAUCUUGAGGUAUGGAAGGGAAAGUGGAAUUCCUAGUGUAGCGGUGAAAUGCGCAGAUAUUAGGAGGAAUACCGGUGGCGAAGGCGACUUUCUGGCCAUAACCUGACGCUGAGGUACGAAAGCGUGGGUAGCAAACAGG